rfam:Gossypium raimondii Chr09_contig_138, whole genome shotgun sequence.
UUUUAAAAAUUUUAUUUAUUUGUACUAUUAAAAACUAGUGCGACUGACAAAAUAACCAAACAAUGUCACAUGUACCUCAUAUCAACAUACAAGAACCAAUUUUUAAUAAUAGAAAUGAAUAAAAUAUUUAACA